UACGAAGGGGGCUAGCGUUGUUCGGAAUUACUGGGCGUAAAGCGCACGUAGGCGGACAUUUAAGUCAGGGGUAAAAUCCCAGAGCUCAACUCUGGAACUGCCUUUUGAUACUGGGUGUCUUGAGUAUGGAAAGAGGUGAGUGGAAAUUCCGAGUGUAGAGGUGAAAAUUCGUAGAUAUUCGGAGGAACACCAGUGGCGAAGGCGGCUCACUGGUCCAUUACUGACGCUGAGGUGCGAAAGCGUGGGGAGCAAACAGG
rnacentral:rRNA from 1 species